CCUACGGGAGGCAGCAGUGGGGAAUAUUGCACAAUGGGGGAAACCCUGAUGCAGCGACGCCGCGUGAGUGAGGAAGUAUUUCGGUAUGUAAAGCUCUAUCAGUAGGGAAGAAAAUGACGGUACCUGAAGACGAAGCCCCGGCUAACUACGUGCCAGCAGCCGCGGUAAUACGUAGGGGGCAAGCGUUAGCCCGAUUUAAUGGGUGUAAAGGGGGCGCAGACGGCGAUGCAAGCCAGGUGUGAAAGCCCGGGGCCCAACCCCGGGACUGCUCUUGGAACUGCGUGGCUGGAGUGCAGGAGGGGCAGGCGGAAUGCCUGGUGUAGCGGUGAAAUGCGUAGAUAUCAGGAGGAACACCGAUGGCGAAGGCGGCAUGCUGGACUGCAACUGACGUUGAGGCCCGAAAGCGUGGGGAGCAAACAGGAUUAGAUACCCCAGUAGUC
rnacentral:rRNA from 1 species